rnacentral:rRNA from 1 species
UACAGAGGUCUCAAGCGUUGUUCGGAUUCAUUGGGCGUAAAGGGUGCGUAGGCGGCGCGGUAAGUCGGGUGUGAAAUCUCGGAGCUUAACUCCGAAACUGCAUUCGAUACUGCCGUGCUUGAGGACUGGAGAGGAGACUGGAAUUUACGGUGUAGCGGUGAAAUGCGCAGAUAUCAGGAGGAACACCGGUGGCGAAGGCGGAUCUCUGGGCCUUACCUGACGCUCAGGCGCGAAAGCUAGGGGAGCGAACUGG